AACGAACGCUGGCGGCGGGGUUUAGGCAUGCAAGUCGCGCGAGAAAGGGGCAACCCGAGUACAGCGGCGCAAGGGUGAGUAAUGGUUAGUCAACGUACCCAGAUGACGCGGAUAAUUCCUCGAAAGGGGUUGUAAUACGCGAUGAGACCACGGGGCUUCCGGGCUCUGAGGUCAAAGGUCGGGGAUCCUUCGGGACCCGGCGCAUGUGGAGCGGACUAACUCCGAUUAGCUAGAUGGCGGGUAACGGCCCGCCAUGGCGAUGAUCGGUAGCCGGCCUGAGAGGGUGUCCGGCCACACUGGGACUGAGACACUGCCCAGACUCCUACGGGAGGCUGCAGUCGCGAAUCAUUCACAAUGGGCGCAAGCCUGAUGAUGCCACGCCGCGUGCGGGAU
rnacentral:rRNA from 1 species